rnacentral:lncRNA from 1 species
CAAGAUGCUACAGUCAGAUUCUUAACCCUCUGUGCCACAGUGGGAUCUCUUCUCUCUUUUUAUCUAAUCUAAGUUUUGUCAUUCUUGCUUAUCUUGUAUAAUAUUCUUUUUUCUGAAAACUACCAUUGCUUUAAGUAUAUACAUUUCUGAUUUAUUUUUGGUAUCAAUCACUGAGAAUAGGAAUAGGUAAAAAAAAAAUGUUUAAGUCUAAUUACUUCUAUGAGAACCUUAGCAAUAGGCUUAUUAUUUAGCACUGACCCUAAUUAGGUAUAAAGGAUUUUUUUCAUUUCUGUUUUCUGGUUUUUUUUCUUUUUUUCGUCUUUUUCAAAUUGACAGAUGACAUGAGGCUUGAAUAGAGGAUAUAGUGGAUAAUACAAACAGAUUUGAAAAUGCUGGGAUUAUAUGCCUCAACUAAGAAGAUAAAAUUAAGGAAGACAACCAGACUUUUUAUGAAGUUACAUUCAGAGUCCAAUGAUAAAGGCACAAGGUUGAAGUUAAUUAGGAUGGGCAAAUGACAGUAGCAGUUCUGUGCCUGAACAUGAACUUCACUGAUUUGCAGAGACAGAGAGAGAGAAUUGGUUUCCAGUAGUUCCCCCAAAGAGUGAGUAACAUUCUUUGCCACAAAUCUCAAGAUUUGGUAUUUUAACUUUUCUUUUUUAUUUCUUAUUUAAAAAAUUUUAUUGACAUAUAGUUGAUUUUACAAUGUGGUGUUUUCUGUUAUAUGGAGUAGUUAUUUGGUUAUAGAUAUAUAUUUUUUCCUUAUAUAUUAAAUUCCCAGAAGAAGGAUGACUAUUGAAGAAUAUUUGCACAUUUAACUUUUAUAGAUGAGUAGACAUAAAGAUAAAUAGAUCAAUUUAUUUAUAGGUAUAUAGAAAGAGGAUAAAUGUUUGAUUCAAAAGUUUAUUAAUUUCCAGUUCUUUUGGUAUCAGUUUCUACAUUCACUUCAAGGAGAAAAAGAAAAAUUGUCUAUGUGUGUGUUCCAUAUCUUGUUUGCUAACUAAGAGAUUACCAAUUAUCUCUUGGUUAACUUUGCUAACCAAGAGUUAAAUAACUCAAUGAAAUUUUAAAUUGCAUCUAUAUUAAUAGUAAAGAUUGACAUUA